AAUCUUCCGCAAUGGACGAAAGUCUGACGGAGCAACGCCGCGUGAGUGAAGAAGGUCUUCGGAUCGUAAAACCCUUUUGUUAGGGAAGAGCAAGUAUCGUUCGAAUAGGGCGGUACCUUGACGGUACCUAACCAUAAACCCACCGCUAAGUACGUCCCAGCAGCCGCGGUAAUACGUAGGUGGCAAGCGUUAUCCGGACUUAUUGGGCGUAAAGCGCGCGCAGGCGGUUUCUUAAGGCUGAUGUGAAAGCCCACGGGUCAACCGUGGAGGGUCAUUGGAAACUGGGAAGCUUGAGUGCAGAAGAGGAGAGUGGAAUUCCAUGUGUAGCGGUGAAAUGCGUAGAGAUAUGGAGGAACACCAGUGGCGAAGGCGACUCUCUGGUCUGCAACUGACGCUGAGGCGCGAAAGCGUGGGGAGCGAACA
rnacentral:rRNA from 1 species